rnacentral:rRNA from 1 species
AUUGAACGCUGGUGGCAUGCUUAACACAUGCAAGUCGGACGGUAACAGGUGUAGCUUGCUACAUGCUGACGAGUGGCGGACGGGUGAGUAAUGUAUAGGGAUCUGCCUUAUGGAGGGGGAUAGCUCAGGGAAACUUGAGGUAAUACCGCGUAAGACCGGAAGGUGAAAGGGGGCGAAAGCUCUCGCCAUAAGAUGAGCCUAUAUUGGAUUAGCUAGUAGGUAGGGUAAAGGCCUACCUAGGCGACGAUCCAUAGCUGUUCUGAGAGGAAGGACAGCCACACUGGGACGGAGACACGGCCCAGACUCCUACGGGAGGCAGCAGUGGGGAAUAUUGGACAAUGGGGGCAACCCUGGUCCAGCAAUGCCAUGUGUGUGAAGAAGGCCUUCGGGUUGUAAAGCACUUUAGUAGGGGAGCAAAGCGGGUGUGCUAAUACCACAUUCGAUUGAGAGUACCCUAAGAAUAAGCACCGGCAAACUCUGUGCCAGCAGCCGCAGUAACAC